rnacentral:rRNA from 1 species
AGGCCUUUACUGACGCUAAAGCUCGAAGGUGCGGGUAUCGAACAGGAUUAGAUACCCUGGUAGUCCGCACGGUAAACGAUGGAUGCCCGCUGUUCGCGAUACAAUGUGAGCGGCCAAGAGAAAUCGUUAAGCAUCCCACCUGGGGAGUACGCCGGCAACGGUGAAACUCAAAGGAAUUGACGGGGGCCCGCACAAGCGGAGGAACAUGUGGUUUAAUUCGAUGAUACGCGAGGAACCUUACCCGGGCUUGAACUGCAGAGGAAUGCGGUGGAGACACCAAAGCCCUUCGGGGCCUCUGUGGAGGUGCUGCAUGGUUGUCGUCAGCUCGUGCCGUGAGGUGUCGGCUUAAGUGCCAUAACGAGCGCAACCCCUUUCGUCAGUUGCCAUCAGGUUAAGCUGGGCACUCUGGCGACACUGCCACCGUAAGGUGUGAGGAAGGUGGGGAUGACGUCAAAUCAGCACGGCCUGACGUGCGGUGUGUACACACCUGUUACAAUGGGGAGUACAGAGAGUCAGGUACGGGCAACGUCGCGUCAAUCAGGAAAGCUCCCCUCAGUUCCGAUCGGGCUAUGCAACCCACCCCACGAAGCUGGAUGCGCU